CUUGACACUGAACAUUGAGCCUUGAUGUGUAGGAUAGGUGGGAGGCUUUGAAGCGUGGACGCCAGUCUGCGUGGAGCCAACCUUGAAAUACCACCCUUUAAUGUUUGAUGUUCUAACGUUGGCCCCUUACCGGGGUUGCGGACAGUGUCUGGUGGGUAGUUUGACUGGGGCGGUCUCCUCCCAAAGCGUAACGGAGGAGCACGAAGGUUAGCUAAUCCUGGUCGGACAUCAGGAGGUUAGUGCAAUGGCAUAAGCUA
rnacentral:rRNA from 1 species